ACCCUGAGACCGUUUAACUUGUAC
rnacentral:miRNA from 1 species